rnacentral:sRNA from 1 species
UUCUUUUAAAUUUAAUAAGAAAUUGAGAUAAAAAGUAACUUUGUCUUUACUUGACUUAGACUAGCUAUAUAUAUAUAGUCAUAGAGAGUAGACUAGACUUAGACCUAUUAAUUUGUAAGUUGACUGAUUAAAUUAAUGCUAAGAAAAAAAAACUAAGAGGUUGGACUACGCCGACUACGGAACACCUCUAGGACAGUGCUUCCCCUUUUUAUGAACUAGUUAUAAUGGAUAACAUACAGUGAGACAGAGCUCUUCAAUCAAAGAAAGAAGUAACAUGUGAAAUGCAAAAUAUCAGUGAAAUAGUUUGAACUUAUCCAACUCAGAAACCAAGUGACAAACUCUCAAAGAUGGCUAAGUUCAAUACUAAACAGACUAUUAAGCAUGAAGUAGAAAAUAGAUAUGCUGCCGAUACGUCUUCAAGCUCAUCAGACAAUAUUAACAUUAUAUUCAAAGUCAUGAUGUUAUGAAUAGAAGUGAGUCUCAGAUAUAAUGUCCCUAACCCAAGAGGAAGACACAUUCUCCAACCAACAUUCCAGUUCUCAUACUUCCAAAGAUAAUCAGAAGCAAGAUCAUAAAAACACAAAAUCAAAAAAAAUAUUCCAGUGUCCUGUAUGUCAAAAAGA